rnacentral:rRNA from 1 species
UUGCACUGCGGCGUGCUUACACAUGCAAGUCGAACGGAAAGGCCCUUCGGGGUACUCGAGUGGCGAACGGGUGAGUAACACGUGGGUGAUCUGCCCUGCACUCUGGGAUAAGCCUGGGAAACUGGGUCUAAUACCGGAUAGGACCACACACUUCAUGGUGAGUGGUGCAAAGCUUUUGCGGUGUGGGAUGAGCCCGCGGCCUAUCAGCUUGUUGGUGGGGUAAUGGCCCACCAAGGCGACGACGGGUAGCCGGCCUGAGAGGGUGACCGGCCACACUGGGACUGAGAUACGGCCCAAACUCCUACGGGAGGCAGCAGUGGGGAAUAUUGCACAAUGGGCGCAAGCCUGAUGCAGCGACCCCGCGUGAGGGAUGACGGCCUUCGGGUUGUAAACCUUUUUCAAUGAGGUCGAAGCGAAAGUGACGGUACCUACAGAAGAAGGACCGGCCAACUACGUGCCCGCAGCCGCGGUAAUACGUAGGGUCCGAGCGUUGUCCGGAAUUACUGGGCGUAAAGAGCUCGUAGGUGGUUUGUCGCGUUGUUCGCGAAAACUCACA